GAUGAAGAACGUAGCGAAAUACGAUAAGUAAUGUGAAUUGCAGAAUUCCGUGAAUCAUCGAAUCUUUGAACGCACAUUGCGCCCUCUGGUAUUCCGGGGGGCAUGCCUGUCCGAGCGUCAUUUCACCACUCAAGCCUCGCUUGGUAUUGGGCAACGCGGUCCGCCGCGUGCCUCAAAUCGACCGGCUGGGUCUUCUGUCCCCUAAGCGUUGUGGAAACUAUUCGCUAAAGGGUGCUCGGGAGGCUACGCCGUAAAACAAACCCAUUUCUAAGGUUGACCUCGGAUCAGGUAGGGAUACCCGCUGAACUUAAGCAUAUCAAUAAGCGGAGGA
rnacentral:misc_RNA from 1 species